AUUGGGUGCGGGGGAUUUAGCUCAGUGGUGCCACUGCCUGCCUCGAAAACACCAGGUCCUGAGUUCGAUCCCCGGUACCCCCCCAAAUCAGCUAAUUGGCUGGGAGCCCUUGUUCCUUCAGUGCCAUCCCAUCCGUUGUCUGGGGGGGACAGCGAGGAGGCCUCUGUGGAGAGCACCUGCCUGUGUCCCUUGCUCUGGGGAGCUGGGCAGUGGCCGGCUCUUGGAGAUACUGAGAGCCAGAGGUGACUCUUGUUCCUCCUUGUGGGCAGUGCUGGGUCCCCCAGUGUGGACGGGUGAGAACCCCAAUCCUUAACUCAGGCCCAAUGCUCUAGGCUGGUGACCAUCCGUGUGACCUUUGAAGAGGGCUGUUCUUUUCCUGGCCACUUUGGGUCACAGGAUCACAGAGAAGGGAGCCUCACAGGGGGAUAGAAAUUGUUUGUCAGCCCCCUGAAUCAUUCCACAAGCUCUGCUUAUUUCAUAUUUAUCACAUAACUCAUGGCCUGACAUGAACCCCCAAACACUCGUGGUAGGUGCUAUAAUCUGCUCCUCUCCUUUCAUAACCCUAAUUUUCUAUAUACUUAGAGAAGGAGGGUUAUAUGGCAGAGUGAUUUUCUCAAUAAUACUUAAUUCUGAAUAACUUAGUACAGAGUUUAACUGGCCUUUGGUGACGCCUGAAGAUUACUGUAAAAUCAGAUGAGAAUUAAUCUCCUCCAGUGUUCAGCACUGUGGCCAAGAGCAUUUUAAAAUAUAUUUCACCCCUUAAAGCUUCCUAUAAACUAUUUAUGAAAUUCUAAGUCAGUACACCUGUAAUCCUUAGCGUCCAGCCCAGGGCAGUACUGGUGAACCUGCUGCAAUGUGUUACAGAUGUGCUGUAGCAACCAGGGAGGGAGGAGGAGGCACCAUUGCCAGGCAUCAGAACUAUCUGCCACGGUACUAGAUGAAUUUGAGUUACUUUCAGGGUCGCUGUUUUCCUGGUGUCUGGAUUCCAGGUCCAGGGAGGCUGUGUUUUGCUGCCAGUCUCUACUCUGCUGGUCUGGAAGCAGCAACCUCUCCACCCUGAACCCUGGUGUCCUGUAUGACAAGGGUAUCGGCCAUUGCACUAAUGAAAACAUGAAUAUAAAUAUAAUUGUAUUUACUGAAAGGAACUGUGCCCUGUACACUACUGUUACCUCAUUAACAGAAAACACAAUAUAUGUUAGUGAAAUUUCCACAUCAAAUCAACUUCAUUCUCUGUAAUAGCUGCAUAUUAUUCUACUUCAUUAUAUUGUUUCUAGUUCUUUUCUAUUGAAAGCAAUAUUACAAUAAAUAACCCUAUGUAAGAUGGGCACAAUGGCACAUACCUAUACUCCCAACUGUUGUGGAUGCUGAGACAGGAGGAUUGCUUAAGUGCAGGAGUUCAAAACCAACUUGGGUAACAUAGUAGGAUCCCAUCUUGAAAAAAUUAAUAAAAUGAGAAAAAGAAAUAUAUCUUUGUA